CCUGUAAUAUGCAAUCGCCCUGGAGUGCAGCCUUUCUCCUUUGUGCUCACAGAGGAGGCCAAUCAGACCUCAGUUCUCCUCUGGUCUCCGACAAGAAUCCACAUUGUGGAUUUGCAGAGAGGUACCAUGAAGUAGCCGUCCAGUGGUUCUGUUUUAGAACCCGGGGUUCAGGCAGAGGAAGAGGACCACACCUUGCCUGAUGAAGAGGUGCCAAUUGUGUGGCAUUUUCCCAUGUUGGAAGAAGAUCCCGGCCCCAGACUUCCUAUGUGCUGAAUGCCGGUCCUACCUUGGGCUGAUGACAUGCAAAGCAAACUCCAGUGGGAUUUCUUGACAGAGCCUUAUCUUGGGAAGGAGAAGCCAUCCAGAGUUCCAGGAGCUGGGUUUCAUUGUUAUCCCUCCUGGACCAGGAGCCACCUACCAGGUCUCUCCAUAGAAGGAAGAAACGAAGUUGCUGCCUUGAUAAAAGUAGUGAGGUUUGGGGGCUCAGGCAUGAUAUUGGGGACAGCAUGAGAUCCUGACUGAAAGCCUGGCACCCCUGGGACCUGGAUUGCGGCUCACGCUGAGGAAGCUCGGCUGGCUGGGUGCGUCGGGGAGAUGGUGUCCCGAGAACACCACGGCAAGGGGCAGACGGAGCCUUUCCCUGAGGGGCGGCCAGGCAGCAGUGAGGAGGCCAGAGCGGAGGAAGUUGCUGAUUGUCCGCCAGCUCCCAGGAGCACCCAGCAGAGGUUACAGUGAGAACCAGCCAGAUGUGGGCUCAGUGGCUGUACCCACCUGCAGGUGGCCAGGACACGAGUUAAGUGAGUGUUUACAUGAAGGCAUUCUGAUGGGGUGAAAGUGCUGUAGCCAACUCCAGUGUACCCCACUCUGCUACCUCUUUGUGAUCCCCAGCCUCAGUUUCCCCGUUUGUGAAAUGAGAAUGAUGAGAGUGAGCUCCUUCACCAGGAUUGUUCUGAGGAUCAAAUGAUGUGUACAUUCACAUAUAUUUUAUUCCUGUGAUAUUCAGCGAUAUCCACUGUCAUAAAGCCGAGAGUGCUGCUGUUGGUUGCUGACUCCUGGCCUUGGUAUUCAGUGUUGUACGCCCGGGAGGCUGAGGCUUGUAUCUGGCUGAGGGGGUAAAUGAAGGCUCCUUCCAGGUUCCAGACUUUCUCGUUAGUGCUCAAAGCAUGAUUGUGCAAAGACCAGUUGGGAACACGCCCACGGACAUACUGUAAAAGACUGCCCGGAGCCAAGAGCCAGGGAGGCAGCUGAGCUAUG
rnacentral:lncRNA from 1 species